UGCAGCUGCCAUAAUUUGUUUGUAGAAAGUGGUAGUCUUUUGGUGAUUUAGGCGGUUUUAAACGCCAUUACUUGCUCCCGCUUCACUGGUAAAAAAGCUAUUCUAUUUCACUAAUAAAGGCUAUGCUAUUCAAUCGAACCUCCAUCACAAUGUGAGAAUCAAGAAGAAACUCCAUCGCAACAUGAGAUAUGCGUUCUCAUCCACGAUGCUCUCCUCUGGCGGCAAUGCCGUUGUUGCUGCCUUCGAAGGAGCGCUCUUCUUUGAUUAGGUUUUCUGGCUUCGAUUUGAGGGUUCGUUGCGCCGCCGCUCAUCUCCUCGUCACCACAAGCAACGCCAUCAUUGCUGUCCUCAGUGGAGCUUCUGCUAUCUGGUAUAAUCUGAGAUCGCACAUCGGAGGGAGAGGGAAAGGAGAACGAGAGUGAGUUCAUCUCAAACCCUAGAGUUUGUCGCCGCCAUCGUCACCACCAUUCAUCUCAUUUCAGCCGCUUCCAUCAACCUUCUGCGUUCGAGUGAAGGUGCCUCUAUCGACGCGUUUCCAAAUCUGGUCACGAUGCCAUAGCUUAUGAGAUUGAGCGAAUCACCUAUUCCAUUAAUGUGUCUCCUCCGCCAGCGGCGCCAAAGGGAAAAGUGUUUUCACUUGCAAAUGAACUUCCUAAUGGUGCUAUUAUAUUUCUGGAUGAGAUUGAUUCUUUUGCUGCUGCUCGGGAUAAUGAAAUGCAUGAAGCUACAUGGAGAAUAUUGUCAGCGUUGUUACGACAGAUAGAUGGCUUUGAACAGGAUAAGAAAGUGGUUAUGAUUGCUGCUACCAAUUGAAAGGAAGACCUUGAUCCUGCAUUAAUCAGCCGGUUUGAUACUAUGAUCCCUUUUGGCUUACCUGAUCACCGUAAUCGUCAGCAAAUAGUUUUUAAUCACCAAAAUGUUCGACGGCAUCUUCGGUUAGAGAUUUGUCGCGAAAUGGUUCCGUACUUUGAUUUUUCUGUUUCUGUUCUACCUUCUUCAUGCCUUUCACUUAUUGUAAUUAUGCUGAUUGUGAUUUUCAAGGGGAAAAAAACUACUCACAAUGGAGAAGAAAGGGUCUCAGAGAUGGAUGAGCGGCGGUAGCAACAGGUGCACAAUAUGCAAAGAUUAAGGUAUUGUUGUAGAGAUACAUUGAUGGCGAGAGUACGCAUCAAGAAGACAUCGGGGUAAACAUCAUUUGGUUGCAACCAACGAAAUGAAAUUCUGCUUGGAUGCUUCCCCAAAACAAAAGCUUAUUUCUAAGUUCAAGAGAGGUACAUUUACUCCUUGCAGAUGGGAUGCAAAUCAGAUGUGGAAGCUAAAUCCAAAUGGGACCAUGGUAAAAAAUUACUCCAGUCUGUAUGUAAUAGCAGAAUCUGUCAAAGAUGGUAUUAGUCCUGGUGGGAUUUGCUUUUGGAUUGCAAAAGGAAGAAGAGAGAGCAAUGCAAGGAUUUACUAGAAGAUUGUGGGAUUGAUGAAGAGUGAGGGUCUCUUGGCCGGAAUUGGUGUAUCACAUUAUAAUAAAGCUUCCAGUUUAGUGUUUCAAUAAACUCUCUCACAUUCUUUGAUACUGACAGUGUUUGAUGAUGAAAACCAAGCGCAGGAGAAUAGCUUCAUUUAUGUUAUAGCUGAGUAUCUUCAAAAAGUUGAUCCUAAAUCAGAUGGUGCAAAGUGGGACUGGGUUGCUAUUUAUGACGAGUGUGCAGCCGUUUUAUAUCAGAUUCCAGGUUUAUUGGUUAUUGUGAUUCUAGAUCAUUAUCUUUCUAAGAGGUUCAUUGCUAAUUUGAUUGUACUUCUGAUGUUUGGUUUUCUUGGCUACAUGUGCAUUUCAGAGAGACACAAUUCAAGCUGUGACAAGUUUUGCCAAACGGAAUAAAUUGCCUGUUCUCAUGCAAGAACAGAUGAUUGCACAUUUGCAUAUGAAGUACAGAACUGAUAUAGAAGGGCUGCAGCAGCAAGAGUUUAAAUACAUAUUCAUAUUCCGUUUAAAUACAUUAUUAGAUAUUAACAUAGUUUAGGAAACUGGAUGGUAGAUUUGACUGAUUAGUGUUUAUUGCAAUGCUUGUAUUUUGGUAAGUUUAGUAAGACAAGGUUUUGUA